AGCACAGGCGGUUUCUUAAGUCUGAUGUGAAAGCCUUCGGCUCAACCGAAGAAGUGCAUCGGAAACUGGGAAACUUGAGUGCAGAAGAGGACAGUGGAACUCCAUGUGUAGCGGUGAAAUGCGUAGAUAUAUGGAAGAACACCAGUGGCGAAGGCGGCUGUCUGGUCUGUAACUGACGCUGAGGCUCGAAAGCUAGGGUAGCGAACG
rnacentral:rRNA from 1 species